GGCCUGGUGGUGUAAUGGUAACACGUCUUCCUCAAAUAGAAAAGUUUGGGUGUAAUUUGGAAGAAGAACCUCGUUCGAUUCGGGGCCAGGCCG